UGCAGUCAGUCAAAUUCGGCCCUCGUCUCAUUGCGACAGGGGCUGGCUCAGAUGGCUGCCACAGCAGGCUCCGCAGCUCAUGGGCUCUGGGUCCCCACCUGGGACCUGAGAAUAAGUUGGGCCUCGAACAAGG
ensembl:snoRNA